AUGCUGAAACAGGGCAUCAUUCAGCCUAGCCGCAGCCCGUUUCCCUCUCCGGUCCUUUUGGUGCUCAAGAAGAAUGGUGAAUGGCGCUUCUGUGUGGACUAUUGCCACUUGAAUGCGAUUACAGUCAAGAACCGUUACCCACUGCCGAUCAUUGAUGAGCUCCUUGAUGAAUUGGCCGGUUCGGCAUGGUUUACCAGCUUGGACUUGAGAUCAGGCUUUCACCAGAUACGUAUGUGCCCGGAAGACGAAGCGAAAACUGCCUUUCAGACACAUCAUGGUCACUUCGAGUUUAAAGUGAUGCCGAACGGGGUCACCGGGGGGCCCGCAACUUUCCAAUCUGGGAUGCAGAUU
rnacentral:rRNA from 1 species